GUUUGAGUAAUUUCAGCGGACUCUGGGCUGGAGGAGUGGAAUUAGCUAGUCCUGUGAGGGCAGUCUCUCAAGGAUCAAGGCCCCAGAUGCCAGAGCAUCAAGAAUAUGGAAAAUCAGAGAACAUGAUCAAUAUACCAGCUCAUCCCUGGAUGAAGCUCCCUGCCUUUCCUCAUACAG